UUAUUAGUUUAAAAUAUGAUUGGGGACUACGAGCAAUAGCUUAAAAACCCAAGAAUUUGGCGGUGUCUUAUUCAAUCAGAGGAAUCUGUCUCAUAAUCGACAACCCACGAAAAAUAUACCUGUUAUUUAAAGUUUUAGCUUGUGUACUGCCGACUAUAUAGGCCCUUAAAGUAACCUAUAAUAAAUUUAUAUUAAUAAUGUGUCAGGUCAAAGUGCAGCUUAUAUACAGGAGAAGAUGGAUUACAGUCUAUAAAAUAGUCAAAAAUAUAAAUUAAUAAUAUGUAUUUAAGAAGAAUUUGAUAGUAAUGGUAUUUACAAAAUAACAUGAAAUUGAACCUAAGACAA
rnacentral:rRNA from 1 species